rnacentral:rRNA from 1 species
AGUGAACGCUGGCGGUAGGCCUAACACAUGCAAGUCGAACGGCAGCACAGUAAGAGCUUGCUCUUACGGGUGGCGAGUGGCGGACGGGUGAGGAAUACAUCGGAAUCUACUUUUUCGUGGGGGAUAACGUAGGGAAACUUACGCUAAUACCGCAUACGACCUACGGGUGAAAGCAGGGGAUCUUCGGACCUUGCGCGAUUGAAUGAGCCGAUGUCGGAUUAGCUAGUUGGCGGGGUAAAGGCCCACCAAGGCGACGAUCCGUAGCUGGUCUGAGAGGAUGAUCAGGCACACUGGAACUGAGACACGGUCCAGACUCCUACGGGAGGCAGCAGUGGGGAAUAUUGGACAAUGGGCGGAAGCCUGAUCCAGGCAUACCGCGUGGGUGGAGAAGGCCUUCGGGUUGGAAAGCCCUUUUGUUGGGGAAGAAAAGCAGCAGGUUAAUACCCCGCUGUUCUGACGGUACCCAAAGAAUAAGCACCGGCUAACUUCGUG